CUACGGGAUGCAGCAGUGAGGAAUAUUGGUCAAUGGGCGGAAGCCUGAACCAGCCAUCCCGCGUGCAGGAUGACGGCCCUAUGGGUUGUAAACUGCUUUUCUAUGCCAAGAAAGGACGCUACGAGUAGCGUAUUGACGGUAGCAUAGGAAUAAGCACCGGCUAACUCCGUGCCAGCAGCCGCGGUAAUACGGAGGGUGCGAGCGUUAUCCGGAUUUAUUGGGUUUAAAGGGUGCGCAGGCGGAAAUGUAAGUCAGUGGUGAAAGGCUGCCGCUUAACGGUAGGACUGCCAUUGAUACUGCUUUUCUUGAGUAUGGUUGAGGUAGGCGGAAUGUGUAGUGUAGCGGUGAGAUGCAUAGAUAUUACACAGAACACCGAUUGCGAAGGCAGCCUACUAAGCCAUCACUGACGCUGAGGCACGAAAGCGUGGGUAGCGAACAGGAUUAGAUACCCCAGUAGUC
rnacentral:rRNA from 1 species